UACGUAGGGUGCAAGCGUUGUCCGGAAUUAUUGGGCGUAAAGAGCUCGUAGGCGGUUUGUCGCGUCUGCUGUGAAAACUCGGGGCUUAACCCUGGGCCUGCAGUGGGUACGGGCAGACUAGAGUGCGGUAGGGGAGACUGGAAUUCCUGGUGUAGCGGUGAAAUGCGUAGAUAUCAGGAGGAACACCUGCGGUGUAGACGGCUUACUGGACGGUAACUGACGCUGAGGCACGAAAGCGUGGGUAGCAAACAGG
rnacentral:rRNA from 1 species